rnacentral:misc_RNA from 1 species
CAUGAGAUUGUGCCGGAAAAUGAGAUGCAAAAUGAGAUGAUACAUGAGCACAGCCAUGACAUUGUGCCUGAAAAUGAGAUGCAAAAUGAGCACAGCCAUGAGAUUAUGCCGGAAAAUGAGAUGAUACGUGAGCACAGCCAUGAGAUUGUGCGGGAAAAUGAGAUGAUACCUGAGCACAAUCAUGAGAUAGUGCCGGAAAAUGAGAUGAUACAUGAGUGCAGUCACGAGACAGUGCCACAAAAUGAGAUGGUACAUGAGCAUAGUCAUGAAAUGGUGCCAGAUAAUGAGAUGACACAUGAGCACACUCACGAGAUGGUGCCGGAAAAUGAGAUGACACAUGAUCAUAAUCACGAGAUGGUGCAGGAAAAUGAGAUGACACAUGAGCAUAAUCACGAGAUGGUGCCGGAAAAUGAGAUGA